UGGGGAAUCUUGCACAAUGGGCGAAAGCUGAUGCAGCAACGCCGCGUGCGGGAAGAAGGCCCUAGGGUUGUAAACCGCUUUCAGUAGGGAAGAAAAUGACGGUACCUACAGAAGAAGGUGCGGCCAACUACGUGCCAGCAGCCGCGGUGACACGUAGGCACCAAGCGUUAUCCGGAUUUAUUGGGCGUAAAGAGCUCGUAGGCGGUUUGGUAAGUCGGGUGUGAAAACUCUGGGCUCAACCCAGAGAGGCCACCCGAUACUGCUAUGACUAGAGUACGGUAGGGGAGCGGGGAAUUCAUGGUGUAGCGGUGAAAUGCGCAGAUAUCAUGAGGAACACCAGCGGCGAAGGCGCCGCUCUGGGCCGUAACUGACGCUGAGGAGCGAAAGCAUGGGUAGCAAACAGGAUUAGAUACCCUGGUAGUCCAUGCCGUAAACGUUGGGCACUAGGUGUGGGUCUCAACCAACGAGAUCCGCGCCGUCGCUAACGCAUUAAGUGCCCCGCCUGGGGAGUACGGUCGCAAGACUA
rnacentral:rRNA from 1 species